CAAAGAACUUUGAAGAGAGAGUUUAACAGGGCGUGAAACCGCGUGGAGAGAAGCAAACGGAGCUGUAUUGUCGGCAUUGGUUAUGUCUUUAUUGUUUCGGCAGUGAAGGAUCACGUGACCAGUGUCGAGCGCUGCGACCGAGUGCUCAUAGGAACUAUUAGCGUAUUGUCGCCUACCUUCGGGUAGUCCCCCGUAUGCUGAUGUGGUCCUUGGGAAUUGCACUUGUGACUACUGCGUAAACUUGUUCCCUGGUCCAGUUACAGUUUUAUACCGAGUCUAAUUGAGGGCUCGCGCUUGUAUAGCUGCUGGCGACACCAGAGAUGAGAACGUAAGAGUUGGCGGCGUAAGACAGCCACCCGUUUGACCCGUCUUGAAACACGGACCAAGAAGUCUAACAUGUGUGCAAGUCAAUGAGUGGAAAACUCAACGGCGUAAUGAAGGUGAACGGCAGUCUAACUGUUGAAGGUGAGAUCUGUGUAAAAGCAGCGCAUCACCGCCCCGCACUAUAGAUUGAUUCUUUGUGUGGAGGUAUAGCAGACAUGUUGGGACCCGAAAGAUGGUGAACUAUGCUUGAGCAGGAUAAAGCCAGAGGAAACUCUGGUGGAAGUCCGCCGCGGUUCUGACGUGCAAAUCGAUCGUCAGACUUGAGUAUAGGGGCGAAAGACUAAUCGAACCAUC
rnacentral:rRNA from 1 species